UACGAGGGGGGCAAGCGUUGUUCGGAAUUAUUGGGCGUAAAGGGUGCGUAGGCGGUCCUACAAGUCUGAUGUGAAAUCUCUGGGCUCAACCCAGAGUCUGCAUCGGAAACUGUAGGGCUUGAGUAUGGGAGAGGUGAGUGGAAUUUCCGGUGUAGCAGUGAAAUGCGUAGAUAUGCGGAGGAACACCGAUGGCGAAGGCAAUCCCCUGGGCCUGCACUGACGCUCAUGCACGAAAGCGUGGGGAGCAAACAGG
rnacentral:rRNA from 1 species